rnacentral:rRNA from 1 species
CCUACGGGGGGCAGCAGUGAGGAAUCUUGCGCAAUGGGCGAAAGCCUGACGCAGCGACGCCGCGUGACUGAUGAAGUCUUUCGGGAUGUAAAGGUCUUUUGCAGGGGACGAAGGAAGUGACGGUACCCUGCGAAUAAGCCCCGGCUAACUACGUGCCAGCAGCCGCGGUAAUACGUAGGGGGCGAGCGUUGUCCGAAUUCACUGGGCGUAAAGCGCGCGUAGGCGGGUUUUUAAGUUGUGGGUGAAAUUCCGAGGCUCAACCUCGUAACUGCCUGCAAAACUGGGAGCCUUGAGGUAUGGAGAGGGAAGUGGAAUUCCUGGUGUAGCGGUGAAAUGCGUAGAUAUCAGGAGGAACACCCGUGGCGAAGGCGGCUUCCUGGCCAUAUCCUGACGCUGAGGUGCGAAAGCUAGGGUAGCGAACGGGCUUAGAUACCCUGGUAGUC